rnacentral:misc_RNA from 1 species
AAGUCGUAACAAGGUUUCCGUAGGUGAACCUGCGGAAGGAUCAUUAACACGAACUUCUAUUAUCCAAUAUCAAAACCAAACGUGAACUUUUCCCCUCCCUACUUUAAAGUUAUUUAUUUAACUUUUUAAGUAGGCUAAACCUUUAUAAUUAAUUUUAACCCCUAUUAACUUAACUAGUUUUGGCUUAAUAACCCAAAAACUACUAACUAAAAACUUUCAUUCUUCGGAAUGUUUGAAGUUUUUCGAUUUACGAAAAAUAAAGAACAACUCUUAACAAUGGAUAUCUUGGUUCUC